UACAGAGGGGGCAAGCGUUGUUCGGAAUUACUGGGCGUAAAGGGCGCGUAGGCGGCCUGUUAAGUCGAACGUGAAAUCCCCGGGCUCAACCCGGGAACUGCGUCCGAUACUGGCAGGCUUGAAUUCGGGAGAGGGAUGCGGAAUUCCAGGUGUAGCGGUGAAAUGCGUAGAUAUCUGGAGGAACACCGGUGGCGAAGGCGGCAUCCUGGACCGACACUGACACUGAGGAGCGAAAGCCAGGGGAGCAAAGCGGG
rnacentral:rRNA from 1 species